GUGGGGAAUUUUGGACAAUGGGCGCAAGCCUGAUCCAGCAAUGCCGCGUGCAGGAAGAAGGCCUUCGGGUUGUAAACUGCUUUUGUACGGAACGAAACGGUCCUGGUUAAUACCUGGGGCUAAUGACGGUACCGUAAGAAUAAGUACCGGCUAACUACGUGCCAGCAGCCGCGGUAAUACGUAGGGUGCGAGCGUUAAUCGGAAUUACUGGGCGUAAAGCGUGCGCAGGCGGUGCUGUAAGACAGGCGUGAAAUCCACGGGCUCAACCUUGGAAUUGCGCUUGUGACUGCAGUGCUGGAGUACGGCAGAGGGGGAUGGAAUUCCGCGUGUAGCAGUGAAAUGCGUAGAUAUGCGGAGGAACACCGAUGGCGAAGGCAGUCCCCUGGGCCUGUACUGACGCUCAUGCACGAAAGCGUGGGGAGCAAACAGGAUUAGAAACCCCGGUAGUCC
rnacentral:rRNA from 1 species